rnacentral:rRNA from 1 species
AACGAACGCUGGCGGCAGGCUUAACACAUGCAAGUCGAACGCGUGUAGCAAUACACGAGUGGCGCACGGGUGAGUAACGCGUGGAUAUCUGCCUUUUGGUUCGGAAUAACCCCGGGAAACUGGGGCUAAUACCGGAUGGUUCCUUCGGGAUAAAGAUUUAUCGCCAAAAGAUGAGUCCGCGUACGAUUAGCUAGUUGGUGAGGUAAUGGCUCACCAAGGCGACGAUCGUUAGCUGGUCNGAGAGGACGAUCAGCCACACUGGGACUGAGACACGGCCCAGACUCCUACGGGAGGCAGCAGUGGGGAAUAUUGGACAAUGGGGGCAACCCUGAUCCAGCCAUGCCGCGUGAGUGAUGAAGGCCUUCGGGUUGUAAGU